rnacentral:tRNA from 1 species
UCCUGGUUAGCUCAGUUGGUAGACGCUUCACUGGAAAUGUAAAGGACCCUGGUUCGAUACCAGGACCAGGUG